UGGUGGAGUGAUUUGUCUGGUUAAUUCCGAUAACGAACGAGACCUUAACCUGCUAAAUAGCCAGGCCGGCUUCUGCUGGUCGCAGGCUUCUUAGAGGGACUGUCGGUGUCUAACCGACGGAAGUUUGAGGCAAUAACA
rnacentral:rRNA from 1 species